CUGCCAGCGAACAGACCACGGGCUCAGUAGCAGCCACCAGGAAUGUCUUCUCGAAGCAAGAGGAUCCUGGGUUGCGGAGGGGUUGGUAACCUCUGGCUCAGCCAGGAGGAGCACCAGGUACCGAGGAGAUGAGUGCACGCCGGUGGACAACGCCAAGAGUCAGAAGGUGCUGCGGGUUCCAUCACAUUUCCAGUGGAAACAGCAAGCCUGGGUUCAAGUCCACCUACUAAGACACUCACCUCCCUCAUCACCAUGGGUGUUUUAGAGUGAGUUCCCAGUACCUCAGGGACUCUGAAUGAGCGCCUGUCCCUUAUGACGCAAAGAUCUACCUUCUGUGAGAUCUGUCUGUAUAAGCAUCCCGCAGCUUGGCAGCGUGCUUGACAGACCUCAGGUGUACACAGAGCCAGUGGAGGGCAGGAGCCCAAGCGGGGCACGACGAGGGCCAGCCGGGCAUGGGGGACACACGAUGAGUCUCUGGAAAAUCC